AAAUGAGAGAGUUGAAGUUCUUUCAUGAUCUUGUGAGAGGUGGUGCAUGGCCGUUCUUAGUUCGUGUAGUGAUAUGUCUGCCUAAUCGCGUCACGAUAACCUAUUGGUCGACAACCCAAUUAUCACAACUGCAGCAUAACUCCCCUUGGGUGGGCGAGGCUCUGUGUAGGAUAGACCUCUGAACAGUACGCAACGAACGCGAUCGUAAUCCCUUGUUGAGUGGCCAUCCUGUAAGCUGCUGGAUUUGGAACCCAGUGGUAUUAUCUCAGCCACAGAUUUUCUGGUUGUAAUGGGCCAGUUUUGAAACUCGGGGAACAUCUGUGACUUUCUUUCUUAACGCAGA
rnacentral:rRNA from 1 species